rnacentral:rRNA from 1 species
UACGUAGGGUGCAAGCGUUGUCCGGAAUUAUUGGGCGUAAAGAGCUCGUAGGCGGUUUGUCGCGUCUGCUGUGAAAUCCCGAGGCUCAACCUCGGGCCGCAGUGGGUACGGGCAGACUAGAGUGCGGUAGGGGAGAUUGGAAUCCUGGUGUAGCGGUGGAAUGCGCAGAUAUCAGGAGGAACACCGAUGGCGAAGGCAGAUCUCUGGGCCGUAACUGACGCUGAGGAGCGAAAGCGUGGGGAGCGAACAGG